GUCCCUGCAGCGCAAUGGAUAGCGCGUUGGACUUCUAAUCCAAAGGUCGUGGGCUCGAAUUACGCCCGGGAUG